rnacentral:rRNA from 2 species
UGGGGAAUUUUGGACAAUGGGGGCAACCCUGACCCAGCAACGCCGCGUGAGGGAAGAAGGUUUUCGGAUUGUAAACCUCUGUCCUUGGUGACGAAGGAAGUGACGGUAGCCAAGGAGGAAGCCCCGGCUAACUACGUGCCAGCAGCCGCGGUAAUACGUAGGGGGCAAGCGUUGUCCGGAAUGACUGGGCGUAAAGGGCGUGUAGGCGGCCGAUUAAGUCUGGAGUGAAAGUCCUGCUUUCAAGGUGGGAAUUGCUUUGGAGACUGGUUGGCUUGAGUGCGGAAGAGGCAAGUGGAAUUCGCAGUGUAGCGGUGAAAUGCGUAGAGAUUGGGAGGAACGCCAGUGGCGAAGGCGACUUGCUGGGCCGUAACUGACGCUGAGGCGCGAAGGCGUGGGGAGCGAACAGG